GUAGGUAGUUUCAUACGUUUUACGAUUAUGUUGACUGAGGUUUAUCUAAGUUCUAAGAACCAAGCCAAGCAUUGUGGAAUCAAUCCGUUCUAUUCUCGGUUAUGAUUAAUGCUUAUCUGGUUGUGGUUUCAGGAACUAAGGAUGGUUCUGGUCAAGCCAAGGAGCCAUGAAGGCUCGGUCAGUGAGAGGCUGUGUAACGUGUGGUUAGAUGAU
rnacentral:lncRNA from 1 species